UCUAGAAGCUGAUUUCUCCUGUCCAACUAACUACCUAAGGUUCUGGAGAUGAAGCUCAGUGCCUUGCAUAUAUCUAGGCUUAUCUGGAGACAUAUGUGAGUAAGCCUCCUAUCUUUGGACCAAUGGAUGGACAAUACAGCUCUUUCUUUUUGCAAAAACUGAUUCCAAUAUUCAGGCUGGAAUUGCUGACAAAAGAGAUCUUGUUCCAGGAAAGUUGGCAACGGUAUUUAACAAUGUUUAACAAUCAGACAAUGGACUGUUGACAUUUAAGCCAAAUGGUAAAACGUUGAAAGACCCCAU